GAAAAUCUCAACAAGAGUAUAUGGUGAAUGCCUUGACAUAAGAAGACGAUGAAGGACGUAGCAGCCUGCGAAAAGCCUCGGUUAGGUGGCAAGCAACCUUUGACCCGGGGAUCUCCGAAUGGGGAAACCUUCCCGCAAGCAGUGCGGGAGUCCGCCGAUUGAACACAUAGAUCGGUGAGACGAAUACCCGGCGAACUGAAACAUCUUAGUAGCCGGAGGAAAAGAAAAAAAGUCCCGAGCAAUCGGGAACAUUCCCUUAGUAGUGGCGAGCGAAAAGGGAUCAGCCUAAACUCUAUAAACCACGCGAUCGGAUUUCGAGCGUAGCAAUACGCGAGGAUGAUGGCCGCUGAAGGUUCUAGGACCAUAUGUUUAUAGGGAGUUGCAAGAUUAUUGCGUUCACUUCCUAGACCAAGUGAGGUAGGGUCCACGAAUAAUAACUUCCCUAGUUGAAGCGAGCUGGAAAGCUCCGCCAGAGAAGGUGAAAGCCCUGUAAGGCGAAAGGGGUUAUUACUCUACGGCAACAAUCUUAAGUAUCGCGGGGCUCGAGAAACCCCGUGUGAAUCCGGGUCGACUAUGACCCAAGGCUAAAUACUUCUUAUGAUCGAUAGUGAACAAGUACCGUGAGGGAAAGGUGAAAAGCAGCCCGGUUAGGGCGGUGAAAUAGUACCUGAAACCAUAUACUUACAAAGAGUCGGAGCCUCGAGCAAUCGGGGUGACGGCGUGCCUAUUGAAGAAUGAGCCAACGAGUUUGUUCUAUGUGGCUUGACUAACUUCCGCUUGGAAAGGAGUCAAAGUGAAAGCGAGCCUUAAUAGGGCGUUUCUAUUUAUUUUGUUGGAACACUUGCUUUGUGUUCCGGCAAAAUACUUAGAAGGUCGCAUGGACAAGACCCGAAGCCGGGUGAUCUAACCAUGGCCAGGUUGAAGUGCCGAGAAAUCGGCGCGGAGGACCGAACCCACUAGCCGUUCAAUACUAGGGGAUGAGCCGUGGUUAGCGGUGAAAUUCCAAUCGAACUCGGCGAUAGCUGGUUCUCCUCGAAAUAGCUUUUGGGCUAGCCUCAAGCGCUGACUACCGGGGGUAGAGCACUGAAUGAGGUUGGGGCCGCAAGGUACCCUCCUUAACCAAACUCCGAAUACCGGUAGGUGUAGCUUGGGAGUCAGACUAUGGGCGCUAAGGUUCAUCAGUCAAAAGGGAAACAGCCCAUGACCGCAGUCUAAGGUCCCUAAAUAUAUGCUAAGUGUAAAAGGUGGUGUCGCGACUGCGACAACUAGGAGGUUGGCUUAGAAGCAGCCAUCCUUUAAAGAAAGCGUAAUAGCUCACUAGUCAAGUUGCCGCGCGCCGNNNNNNNNNNNNNNNNNNNNNNGCCGAAAAUUUAACGGGGCUAAGCAUAUUACCGAAGACGCGGGUCAGCUAUGCUGACAGACACGAAACGAACGAAAAAUUUACGAAAUAAACGAAAGUUUAUUCGUGUUUUUCGUUCAAGUUUCGUUAAAUUCGUGUUUGUCAGCAUAGCUGACGGUAGAGGAGCAUUCCAUACGCAUUGAAGUCGAAUCGUGAGGUUCGGUGGAGCGUAUGGAAGCGAGAAUGUUGGCAUAAGUAGCAAAAAGGCGGGUGAGAACCCCGCCCACCGUAAGCCUCAGGGUUCCUGGGCAACGCAAAUCGACCCAGGGUUAGUCGGUCCUAAGACGAGGCCCGUGUAGUGCGGGCGUAGCCGAUGGAUGAGCUGGUUAAUAUUCCAGCACUACUGUCAGUUUCCAAUGGGGAGACGCAGUUUCAAGGUUUGAGCGCGUUUAUGGUAUGCGCGUUGCUGAUCAUUCGGUUCGAUCCAGGCAAAUCCGGAUCACCAGAACUGAGCGGUUGGCAGAAGACAAAGCCUCCGGCCGAGUCAAUUCAAGCGGAGAAGCUGCCUAGAAAAACCUCUAGGGCUAAACUGGCGGUAACCGUACCGUAAACCGACACAGGUAGGCGAGGCGAGUAGCCUCAGGUGUACGAGAGAAUCUUCGUUAAGGAACUCGGCAAAACAGCGGCCGUAAUUUCGAGAUAAGGCCUGCCCGCCGCAAGGCGGGCCGCAGCUAAAGAGCCCAAGCGACUGUUUAUCAAAAACACAGCUCCCUGCUAACUCGUAAGAGGAUGUAUAGGGGGUGACGUCUGGCCAGUGUCCGAACGUUAAGGGGAUAGGUUAUCCUUCGGGAGAAGCCUUGAACUGAAGCGCGGAUGAACGCCGGCCGUAACUAUAACGGUCCUAAG
rfam:Candidatus Falkowbacteria bacterium RIFOXYA2_FTLL_47_19 rifoxya2_full_scaffold_1494, whole genome shotgun sequence.